rnacentral:rRNA from 1 species
GGGCCCGCACAAGCGGUGGAGUAUGUGGUUUAAUUCGAUGCAACGCGAAGAACCUUACCAGGGUUUGACAUCCUGCGAACCUCUGGGAAACCGGAGGGUGCCUUCGGGAACGCAGUGACAGGUGGUGCAUGGCUGUCGUCAGCUCGUGUCGUGAGAUGUUGGUUAAGUCCCGUAACGAGCGCAACCCACGUCGUUAGUUGCCAGCAUUUAGUUGGGCACUCUAGCGAGACCGCCGGUGAUAAACCGGAGGAAGGUGUGGAUGACGUCAAGUCAUCAUGCCCCUUACAUCCUGGGCUACACACGUACUACAAUGCUACGGACAAAGGGCAGCAAACUCGCGAGAGCUAG